rnacentral:rRNA from 1 species
GAUGAACGCUAGCUACAGGCUUAACACAUGCAAGUCGAGGGGCAGCACAGUGUAGCAAUACAUGGGUGGCGACCGGCGCACGGGUGCGUAACGCGUAUCCAACCUUCCCGUUACUCUUGGAUAGCCUUCCGAAAGGGAGAUUAAUACAAGAUGGUGUUUCACUUUCGCAUGUUAUUGAAACUAAAGAUUUAUCGGUAUCGGAUGGGGAUGCGUGACAUUAGAUAGUAGGCGGGGUAACGGCCCACCUAGUCUACGAUGUCUAGGGGUUCUGAGAGGAAGGUCCCCCACACUGGAACUGAGACACGGUCCAGACUCCUACGGGAGGCAGCAGUGAGGAAUAUUGGUCAAUGGUCGGAAGACUGAACCAGCCAAGUAGCGUGAAGGAUGAAGGUUCUAUGGAUUGUAAACUUCUUUUAUACGGGAAUAAAACCUCCUACGUGUAGGAGCUUGUAUGUACCGUAUGAAUAAGCAUCGGCUAACUCCGUG